CUUUUGCACACAUUGUAUAUAGACUCCCCCCUUUGUUUUCUACUGUGUUAUUGACUUGUUAAUUGUUUAUUCCAUGUGUAACUCUGUGUUGUCUGCUCACACUGCUAUGCUUUAUCUUGGCCAGGUCGCAGUUGCAAAUGAGAACUUGUUCUCAACUGGCCUACCUGGUUAAAUAAAGGUGAAAUAAAAAAAUAAUAAAAAAAUAAGAGCAUCUGCUAAAUGACAUAAAUGUCAAAUGUAGGUGUUUUACAUACAUAUCUCAGAUUACUGUACUAAAUAAAUGUUUUUUUUAACAUUGAUGUCAUAAGUGUAUAAUUUGUACAUUUCUUUAUUAAAAAUGUAGUUAUUUGUUACAGUUGACUGUAUAAAACCUAGCAAUACUUCUUAUUUAUCUGAGAGAGGUGAAUAUACAGCAUUUUGCAAAAGAACAUGAUUAUUUAUCUCUCUUUUAUUUAUUUACUUUUAUUUAUUUAUCUCUUUUAUUUAUCUCUCCAUCAAGUGAUUUUAAACAAAUACAUGUCCAGUACCAGUCAAAAGUUUGGACACACCUACUUUGUAGAAUAAUAGUAAAGAAAUCAAAACUAUUAAAGAACACAUAUGUAAUCAAAAUAUAUUUUAGAUUUUAGAUUCUUCAAAGUAGCCACUCUUUGCCUUGAUAGCUUUGCACACACUUGGCAUUCUCUCAACCAGCCUCACCAGGAAAGCUUUUCCAACAGUCUUGAAGGAGUUCCCACAUAUGUUGAGCACUUGUUGGCUGCUUUUCCUUCAUUCUGCAGUCCAACUCAUCCCAAACCAUCUCAAAUGGGUUGAGGUUGGGUGAUUGUGGAGGCCAGGUCAUCUGAUGCAGCACUCCAUCACUCUCCUUCUUGGUCAAAUAGCCCUUACACAGCCUGGAGGUGUGUUGGGUUAUUGUCCUGUUGAAAAACAAAUGAUAGUCCCACUAAGCGCAAACCAGAUUAGGUGGAGAAUGCUGUGGUAGCCAUGCUGGUUAAGUGUGCCUUGAAUUCUAAAUAAAUCACAGACAGUGUCACCAGCAAAGCACCCCCACACCAUUACACCUCCUCCUCCAUGCUUUUACGGUGGGAACUACACAUGUGGAGACCAUCCAUUCACCUACUCUGCGUCUCAUAUAGACACGGCGGUUGGAACCAAAAAUCUAAAAUUUGGACACCAGACCAAAGGUCAAAUUUCCACUGGUCUAAUGUCCAUUGCUAAUUUUUCUUGGCCCAAGCAAGUGUCUUCAUAUUAUUGGUGUCCUUUAGUAGUGGUUUCUUUUCAGCAUUAACUUUUAACAAGGCACACCUGUUAAUUGAAAUGCAUUCCAGGUGACUACCUCAUGAAGCUGGUUGAGAGAAUGCCAAAAGUGUGCAAAGCUGUCAUCAAGGCAACGGGUGGCUACUUUGAAAAAUCUCUAAUAUAAAAUAUAUAUUGAUUUGUUUAACACUUUUUUGUUACUACAUGAUUCCACAUGUGAUAUUUCAUAGUGUUGAUGUCUUCACUAUUACUGCAACGUAGAAAAUAGUAAAAAUAAAGAAAACCCUUGUAUGAGUAGGUGUGUCCAAAGUUUUAACUGUGACUGUAUGUCAUUGAACAACCCAAUGCCAUGAUUAAAUAGUGAAAAAACACACACAUCUCGUUCAUAUUUUCUUUAAACAAUAAAGCUCCUUUACCAAUAUUUCUGAAAAUGGAUACAUAGCGUUUCUGAAUUAAACUCUUCAAAUGUAACAGCCUGAGCACACUGGACUUGAAACAACGAUACAGAUGUAACCAUUGAAUGUAUUAUCUGACCAGGCACUAGUGCUCCCAUGUCAAAAUUCCAUGUGCAUUCCACAGGUCACAUUUAUGAGGGAGUUUUCAAAAAAAAUGAUCAAGAUUAGGAAAAGUUUCAAGGCACACCAGUGGGGAACCACUGGAGUAAAGUAUCACUGUAAAAUAUGGCUCACAUACAGAAAUAAAAGUAUUUUAAUUAUUUCUGUCUGGUUACAGUCAAGACUACAUUAGCACUGUGACCUUCUAUUGAUGAUGUACCUACAUAUAGGCUUUUAAUGAAGAUACAUUUCUUUUCUUGAAUUCCCACACCUUAUUGACUGUGAGCAAACCAUUCAACAAUUCACCUCCUUAUUCUCCCUCUACUGUAACAUCUUGUUUGGGAUUUUUAUCUUUAAAACCCCAUGGGGAAUUGUUCCAGAAUAUGUCUGUCAAUGUCUCCUAUUUUUGAUAAUCUACUAUCAUGGAAAUCAGUUUACAUUACAUUUAUUUCUCCACAUUCUGCCUCUCCCUCUCUCUCCCUGUCUCUCUCACGCUCUGUCUCUCUCUCCCUGUCUCUCUCACUCUCUGUCUCUCUCCCUGUCUCUCUCACUCUCUCUCCCUGUCUCUCUCCCUGUCUCUCCCUGUCUCUCUUGCUCUCUGUCUCUCUCUCCCUGUCUAUCGGUCUCUCUCUCUCCCCCGUGUCUCUCUCACUCUCUGUCUCUCUCUCUCUCUGUCUCUGUCUCUCUCAAUCUCUGUCUCUCUCUCCCUAGGCCUACGUACAAUAUUUAGACAAACCGAGGCUUCUUCCUUAGCUUGGAGACUUCAUACCCAGGGUCAUGCCUGUGAACCUAUCCACUCUGACUGUUUGCCUGCUAGGCACAGCCAUUCUCUGUGCAGACAUUUAUCCUGCAUCUUCAAACAAUACAUCUACCCCAACAGCACCAUCUGUAAGCCCAGAGGAUACUCCUGCCACCGUCGCAGCUUCCACCACUGGUACUAACACCUCUGCUCCAGGGACUGACCCCACAUCUAACCCCACAGAGGCCAAGAGCACCAUGGUCUCCACAUCCGACCAGGCAAAUGAAGAAGCCACAGAGACAAUAUUGUCAACUGGCGAGAUAGCCGGCAUUGCUGUCGGAAGCAUUGCUGGAGUGGCGGCUAUUGGUGGAGGGAUCUUUGCUGGUCUGAAGUUUAGUGGUAAGCUGGCAGGUUAGUGUUGCUAGACUGGACUGGACAGUGCUGGGUAAAGAUAAGCUGAGUGGGUUGGUAAGGGGAGAUUCGAUUGGCCUGAGACCAGUCCAAGACUCUACAUACUGCACAACCACUGUGGGAAAAAACAGAGCCCUCUCACCUUCCUCUAUCUGAAACCACUGCCAACCAACACAUUGAGACCUUAAUUUACAACUAUACAGGAAUACAGAUUGCAUUACUAUGAGCCACAAUCUGGAAUUGUAUACUGUGGUCAGUCGAGAUAAUAUACUACUUCUACUGCUAUAUAAGCAUAUGCAUACUGUAUAUCACAUGUUAUCCAUGGCCACAAUGUAGCAUUCAGCUGUUGAUGCAUAUGCUUUUCCUAUCUAGUGAGAGCAUACAGUAUAUGGGGAAAAAGGAGAACAGUGACUGAAAAAGACAAAUGAUAAUACGAAAUAACAUGAUAGCUACAGUAUAUAUUUAAUAUAUGGUAGCAAAUAUAUUUUAAUAUUAUGGUUCACCGCACAUCUUGUGGUGACAGCUUAACCGUGCUUUGAACCUUCUGCUAAGUGUAUUUUUAAACAUUUUAAGAUGAUCAAUGAUUUUUGUUGAUUGAUUUAAUUAUUUUAUUUUUUGUCAUUAAACAUUUUAAGAUGAGAAUGAAUGAUCACAUGGGAUUUUGAAUGUUAUUUCCUCAAAAAUUAUUAUGCACACACUUUAUUUCACAACAAAAUACCAUGAUAAUUAUGGUAUUAUGGUCACAAUGUAAACACCUCAUUUUGUAAUAAAGACCAAGAGUAGUUGUGUGACUUUGUUGUGUUUUAUUUGUGGCAGCCAUCUUGUGAAGGUGCCAUUUGAGGGAUGUGUACCCUCUCCCCUCCCAGCUCUGAUGGUGUGCUCUCUGUCUGCAUGCUUUCAUUAUGUCUCAGCACU
ensembl:lncRNA